rnacentral:rRNA from 1 species
UACGGGGGGGGCAAGCGUUGUUCGGAAUUACUGGGCGUAAAGGGCUCGUAGGUGGCCAACUAAGUCAGACGUGAAAUCCCUCGGCUUAACCGGGGAACUGCGUCUGAUACUGGAUGGCUUGAGUUUGGGAGAGGGAUGCGGAAUUCCAGGUGUAGCGGUGAAAUGCGUAGAUAUCUGGAGGAACACCGGUGGCGAAGGCGGGUCUCUGGGCAGUAACUGACGCUGAGGAGCGAAAGCGUGGGGAGCGAACAGG